UACGGAGGAUGCGAGCGUUAUCCGGAUUCAUUGGGUUUAAAGGGAGCGUAGACGGCCAAGCAAGCCAGGGGUGAAAGCCCGGGGCCCAACCCCGGGACUGCCCUUGGAACUGCAUGGCUGGAGUGCGGGAGGGGCAGGCGGAAUUCCUGGUGUAGCGGUGAAAUGCGUAGAUAUCAGGAGGAACACCGGCGGCGAAGGCGGCCUGCUGGACCGCGACUGACGUUGAGGCUCGAAAGCGUGGGGAGCGAACAGG
rnacentral:rRNA from 1 species